AGAGUUUGAUCCUGGCUCAGAACGAACGCUGGCGGCAGGCUUAACACAUGCAAGUCGAACGCUCCGCAAGGAGAGUGGCAGACGGGUGAGUAACACGUGGGAACGUACCCUUUACUACGGAACAACUCCGGGAAACUGGAGCUAAUACCGUAUGUGCCCUUCGGGGGAAAGAUUUAUCGGUAAAGGAUCGGCCCGCGUUGGAUUAGCUAGUUGGUGGGGUAAAGGCCUACCAAGGCGACGAUCCAUAGCUGGUCUGAGAGGAUGAUCAGCCACAUUGGGACUGAGACACGGCCCAAACUCCUACGGGAGGCAGCAGUGGGGAAUAUUGGACAAUAGGCGCAAGCCUGAUCCAGCCAUGCCGCGUGUGUGAUGAAGGCCUUAGGGUUGUAAAGCACUUUCACCGGAGAAGAUAAUGACGGUAUCCGGAGAAGAAGCCCCGGCUAACUUCGUG
rnacentral:rRNA from 1 species